GCUGACGAUGACGCAUGACCGAUGAACAGGCGAAUGACGAAUGACUGGAUGUGACUGCCGGUACACCAUCCGUAACGGCGUCGAUGCAGUCAUUGACGAUUAUCCGUCGCACGUACAAUUGGAAAUUUCCGAGCAGCAAUGCGUUCGCUGCUUUUUCUUUUUUACUUGCUGCAACGGUCCUCGAAACUGGCGGUUCAUAUGCGGGGGUGAGCUUAUCGGUGCAGAUGUCGUGAUGACAGCCGGACACUGCGUACAGGGAGCUUGAAACACUCCGGAGAUAUUUCGCAUAGUGGCUGGUCAAACGAUUCUCAGUAAUGGUGGAACCGUAACAGGACAACGAGUCGUCGGCGCCGAGAUCAUUCUCCACGAGAGAUACGAUCUGGACGGUCAAUUCUCCAAUGACAUCGCCCUGAUGCGUCUGGAGAGCAGUCUUGACCUCACAUCGUCAUCGGUCAGUACCAUCGCUUUGCCGUGCGAUGGCGGCACAUACGAGAACAGUCUCUACGACGGUAUGACGGCGACCAUUAUAGGCCAUGGAC